UGCAAGUCGAGCGAAUCAAUGGGAGCUUGCUCCCUGAGAUUAGCGGCGGACGGGUGAGUAACACGUGGGCAACCUGCCUAUAAGACUGGGAUAACUUCGGGAAACCGGAGCUAAUACCGGAUACGUUCUUUUCUCGCAUGAGAGAAGAUGGAAAGACGGUUUACGCUGUCACUUAUAGAUGGGCCCGCGGCGCAUUAGCUAGUUGGUGAGGUAAUGGCUCACCAAGGCGACGAUGCGUAGCCGACCUGAGAGGGUGAUCGGCCACACUGGGACUGAGACACGGCCCAGACUCCUACGGGAGGCAGCAGUAGGGAAUCUUCCGCAAUGGACGAAAGUCUGACGGAGCAACGCCGCGUGAACGAAGAAGGCCUUCGGGUCGUAAAGUUCUGUUGUUAGGGAAGAACAAGUACCAGAGUAACUGCUGGUACCUUGACGGUACCUAACCAGAAAGCCACGGCUAACUACGUGCCAGCAGCCGCGGUAAUACGUAGGUGGCAAGCGUUGUCCGGAAUUAUUGGGCGUAAAGCGCGCGCAGGUGGUUCCUUAAGUCUGAUGUGAAAGCCCACGGCUCAACCGUGGAGGGUCAUUGGAAACUGGGGAACUUGAGUGCAGAAGAGGAAAGUGGAAUUCCAAGUGUAGCGGUGAAAUGCGUAGAGAUUUGGAGGAACACCAGUGGCGAAGGCGACUUUCUGGUCUGUAACUGACACU
rnacentral:rRNA from 1 species